GACUUCCUAAAGCAACGUCGAGAGAAUCCCAUCCAUAUAAGCUCGAAGAUCAAUGACCCAAGAGUUUCUGAAAGACUCGGUCCUCUCCCACGACCCAGGCCAGCAGUUAAUCUAGGGAAUGGGCAACAAGUCCCAGAAGAACAUGAAGGUACAGGGGACUCGGAAAUGUUCCGACAUACUCACUCUAGGAGUUAGUGUGAUGAGUCCAAGGAAAAAUCACGCUAUCUUGAUCAAACUUUCCUACUUACAAGAGGCGAUUGGGACUUACGGAAGAAACCUUCAGUGGUGCACGACUCCACUCAGGACCCCCUUGUCCUACAGCUCCUGGAGGAAG
rnacentral:lncRNA from 1 species